CGCUAGAAGGUCCAAUAUAUUUAGGACACAUGUCCCGAGGGUAUUGGUGUCAAUCGGACGGUCGGAUUAAUCACGAUCGUGUAAUCGCAUAAUUUCUAAAUCCUAGCCCUAGGGUUCGCGAUUUCGAAGUAUCCGGGACUCCGAUUCGCAAUCCGUCGACUCCUACACGAUCCUGAAUCAUGUAGACUGACAUAUCCAAAAUUCAGUGUGAUCCAAC
rnacentral:lncRNA from 1 species